CUCAUCCGCUCUUCCAAGGUUUCAAAUCUUCCAACUACUAACUAAAGCGCGUCUCCCUUCGCUGGAAAGGUUGAGUAGUUCUUCCAUCAGAAGGAAUUUCUGUUCACCCGGCAACUGCAUCUCAGACAUUCGCUUUGCUCUCCCUCUCGGAAGUCACUGAGUUCUUCGCAUGAUAUAAAAAGAUCUUGCUCUAUCUACAAAAAGUUAUUUGCGAGAAACUGAUUUGAUCCUCUUUACUGCUGAGGACAAAAUGUCUUACAGCCCAUUGGUUUCACUAACCCCAAAAGAUCGGCUGAAAACAAUUUUUGUCCGUGUCAUACGCAAAUGGGAAUUUAGAGGCAUAAAUGAUGAUGGUCCCCUGCAGCAUAUAGACCUCAUUCUAGCAGACACUCAGGGAAGCGCCAUUUAUGCUGAGAUACCACCUACUGAAGCUGAAAAACAUGGUCGUAUCAUACAACCUUGUCAAAAUUAUAUCAUGAGCAGGUUCAGAAUAUGCAAUGCCAAAGACUAUUACAAAUCUGUUCAAGCUCCCUACAUGCUUGAAUUAACCUGCCAUACACGUGUAUCACACACUGAAGAGCCUGGUUCAUUUCCCAAUUAUGUAUACAACUUGACACCAUUUUCUGAACUGCAACAAUUCGUUGGUGACAGAAAGA